rnacentral:rRNA from 1 species
CGCCAGACUCCUACGGGAGGCAGCAGUGAGGAAUAUUGGUCAAUGGCCGGGAGGCUGAACCAGCCAAGUCGCGUGAGGGAAGACGGCCCUACGGGUUGUAAACCUCUUUUGUCAGGGAGCAAGGUGCAGGUCGGGACCUGCUGUGAGAGUACCUGAAGAAAAAGCAUCGGCUAACUCCGUGCCAGCAGCCGCGGUAAUACGGAGGAUGCGAGCGUUAUCCGGAUUUAUUGGGUUUAAAGGGUGCGCAGGCGGAGGUGCAAGUCAGUGGUCAAAUUGCGGGGCUCAACCCCGUCCGGCCGUUGAAACUGGGGGCCUUGAGUGGGCGAGAAGAAGGCGGAAUGCGUGGUGUAGCGGUGAAAUGCAUAGAUAUCACGCAGAACCCCGAUUGCGAAGGCAGCCUUCCGGCGCCCUACUGACGCUGAGGCACGAAAGUGCGGGGAUCGAACAGGAUUAGAUACCCCCGUAUCG